rnacentral:rRNA from 1 species
AGCGAACGCUGGCGGCAGGCCUAACACAUGCAAGUCGAACGAACCCUUUGGGGUUAGUGGCGGACGGGUGAGUAACACGUGGGAACGUGCCUUUAGGUUCGGAAUAACUCAGGGAAACUUGUGCUAAUACCGAAUGUGCCCUUCGGGGGAAAGAUUUAUCGCCUUUAGAGCGGCCCGCGUCUGAUUAGCUAGUUGGUGAGGUAAUGGCUCACCAAGGCUACGAUCAGUAGCUGGUCUGAGAGGAUGACCAGCCACAUUGGGACUGAGACACGGCCCAAACCCCUACGGGAGGCAGCAGUGGGGAAUCUUGCGCAAUGGGCGAAAGCCUGACGCAGCCAUGCCGCGUGGAUGAUGAAGGUCUUAGGAUUGUAAAAUCCUUUCACCGGUGAAGAUAAUGACUGUAGCCGGAGAAGAAGCCCCGGCUAACUUCGUGCCAGCCGCCGCGGUAAGAC